GCAGCACAAGGGAUGGGGAGGGACGGUCAGUGCAUCUGGCUGCUGCUAACCAGAAGGUUGCUGGUUCGAGCCCACCCAGGGACG